UACAGAGGGUGCGAGCGUUGUCCGGAAUCACUGGGCGUAAAGGGCGCGUAGGUGGCGACCAAGUCGAUGGUGAAAGCUCGCCGCUCAACGGCGAGUCGGCCACUGAUACUGGGUUGCUGGAGCACUUGGUAGAGGCAGAUGGAAUUCCGGGUGUAGCGGUGGAAUGCGUAGAGAUCCCCAAGAACACCAGUUGCGAAGGCGGACUGACUGGACACA
rnacentral:rRNA from 1 species